AAAAAAUCCCUCUUUCUGUUGACAGACAGCUCGGUGCUCUGUCACUGCAGUUCAGCUGGAAAAGGCAGGAACAUGGGAUACUGAAGCACAGCUCGCUUUCCCCGCCGCGCUGGGAUGGCUCACGGACCGCUGCUGCUGCACCUCACCCAGCCACACGCCGGGGCCCCGCCGCUCCCCUGAUGCGAGUCCUGCCUGUGGGUCUGCGUAGCCGCGGCACAGACAGAAGCUUCUCUCACGCAUAGAUCUUCAAUAGAACCACGAAUGACCACGUGAACUCAGAGGAAGAAGGAAUGGCUAUGGAUACGCUCUCUUGGAGACAUCAUGCUCCUCACUUUCAGUAAGUUUUCCAUACCCUGGAUGAGAAAAUAGCCUCAGCCUAAGAACUCCUCCAGAAGAAGAGCAGCAAGGUCAAGACAGUGAGCCCAGCUCUCUACGUACUGGCUACUAGCUGAGGCCGAACCUUUGAUGUUGGGAGUGAGAAGACUUCCUAAGGUAGGUCUGUUACCCCAGGAGAAGACCCAGCACUAUGGAGUAAAUGAAGGCCCAUGCCCAGUUCUCCUGGAUGUUCCUGCCACAAACUCAACUUCAGCCCGUCAGUCACCAUCCUCAGUCCCUUCUUCCUUCUUUGACACUACCAGCAGUAAGCUAAUCAGAGCUGAAUGUUCAGUGCCUAUGCACCAACUGGUAGCACCACUCUGAUAUACACCCUUUUACUUAACCAUAAAAACUGAUACUUUUCUGUAGAUAUAGCUAUAUCAAUAUAUUAUCAAGCAGUCAGAUUAGAGUAUCAUCUUUUCCAGGAAGAUCUGCAGUUCAAAUUGUCCUGUCUGUGGACAGGAUAGUGGAUAAUCUGCAGGCAGCUUUGGAUUAUAAUUAAAUACACUUACAAAACUAGUUUGCAGACUGAAGCCAGUGACUGAUUAUUUGCAAAACUCAACCUCUCUUUGCUUUCUUUUAUGACUCUUCUUCUGCUCUGUGGUGUUAAUAAUAUAUUAAAUUCAAUUCUACACUGAAUGCAAAGAUUAAUGAAGGGAUUUUUUUUCCCCCCAAGUGGUAUCCUUUCCUAUUUUCAAGCCCUCUUCUCUCUUACCCUCCCCUUCAUGUUCUCUCUGAAUGUAAAGGCUAAUUGACAGAGAAACUGUCAUUUUUUACUUUCCAAAUUUUACUUUAAUAAAUUCCUCCUUUGAGGAUGAUGAAUUCACUAGGUGCUGUGAUGAUGAGUCCUCAGAUUUCCAGUAGUCAUGAUGCUGUCAAUCAACUGCUGUGUUUAAUGUGGAAAAUGUAGUGAUGACUCUUAACACUUAAAAAAUUUUAUUUGCUAAAAAAUUUUAUUACUUCAGGUUAUCAUAAAAAUCUGCCUUUCUGAGAUUUAGAGGCUGUUCAUGAUUAUUUUCAUGUGUAUUUCACGUAUUUUAGGAAAAUGCCUAAUAGGUUUGGUAUUUGCGUUUUUAUGACUCUGAUGUAACUAAAGCUGUUCCUUGUUUACUCUCUCUUUGUUCUUCUUCACUUCAUGCCAUCUUUCUUCUCUGUUUAUCUACACACGCAAACAAACAAACAAAUAGCUGGUUCCUGGACCACUGCCAGCUGUCCUGAUGUCAACCAGCAAAGGACAAAACCAGCCCUGCCCUUCUCACUGAGGAGCAACGCUUGCUCUGCACGGUGCAUCCUCCCUCUCUUCAGAGGGCCAGAAGGAUGUCCUCUGCAGGCAGAGGUCUCUAAACUGGAACCAUUGGAAGAAUUCAGUCAUUUAGUUAACUUUCUAUCAUUUGGCAUAAAAUAAGAAAACCAAAACACAAAUCAAAACCAGUCUUACAAUUGUCCCUCAAAGUAACACCUCUGGUUGCAAUGCUUGGCAAGAUUUUUAUGUUCAGAGAUUAAUACUGUCAUGAAUAGUUGACUUAAUUUUUUUAAACUGCCCCUUCCUGAAAAAGAGCUCUUGGGGGCACUGUUUCAUUACAAAAAGAAGGGCGAAAAGCUGACAAGAACAAGAUGCUUCUGUUCUCAGAAUUUAUUUUCCCACAACGAUACACAGUGAUACUAUAGAGAAUGGCACAUUAGUGAUGGAACUACUAUUAGUAAAUUUUGGAGCUAUGAAAACUCCUCAGUGUCAAAAAUUAAUAACUACAUUCAAGGUAAUUCACCACUGGACCUGAGAAGCAAUGUAACAGUACAUUAGGGAACUUACAGAAGGAUUUCCAGAAGUAAUAAUUCAUUAUAGCUAUAGGUAGGAGGUGGGGAAAAAAAUCCAUAUUGUUGCUAACAACUUGUACGGUAGAAAAUAAAAAAGCUAUUGGAUUAGGUAAGGGAAAAAAUAGGAAAAACAUCUUACUUCCUAGAGAAUCUUUGUCUGAAAGAUGAAAUUCUAAAAAUAAUUGAUUAACAAGACACUAUUUUCCCAAAUAAUUCUUAUACAAGCAAAUUACCUAUGAUUCAAUGCUUGGAAAAAAACCACAACAAAAUCCCUCUAAUUCCUUACUGAAGUACACUGGCAGGAAUGCACAUCAGAAAAAAAAAAUCAGGUUUUCAGGAAGCAUUCGUAUAAAAAUUCAUAUAUAAAGAAAAAAUAGACUACCCUCAAAUAUUAAGAUUAUAUCAGACGAGUUUUUUAAUUUAUUUUAUAAAGUAAACCCAGUUUAAAGGUAAGUCAUCCAAAUAACAGUUAAGGAACAUGCUUUUGUAAAUCUUAGUUACUUUUUAUUCUUUUGACCUGCGGUCUAGGACUACUGCAUCUUAAAGGUUCUGAAUCAGGUGAGUAUUGGCACUUAUUUUCAUCUCUGUUAAUUGAGGAGGCUGCCUGUCCUUGCUUUAACCUACUUUCCCUGCUAAAGCCAUUUUGCCUCAUAAGCCCCAUGGAGAUUUGAGAGGCAAAGCCAGUUUAUUUCUACAGUGAUCCUGCUUUGUUCAGAAAUAUUGCCAAAGACUUAUUUGGAAACACUUCUCAUAGGAAAUAGGAACAUUUGGUUCUUUGCAAAGACCAUGACGACUCAACUCAAAAUAGAAGGUACAGUUAGCAACCGUAAGACAAGUGUACUGCCUCCCUUCAAAUAUAACAUCUGAGGAGAAAGCCCAUUGAAAAAAACAAAAAAUAUUAAUAUUCAUAGGGUAUUAAAACAUGGUGUGAGACUGUAAGCAUUGAUUUAACCAUUGGUUAAUUGCUUGAUAGUUACUAAAUAUGACAUUUUCUGAUGUGGACUUUACCAUACAAUCUUAAAGAAAGAAAAUUAAAGAAAAUUACUAUUUUUGAAUGUACUUUCAUGCUGCAUUUAAUGCUUUACAAUGUAGAAGUCUUUUCACCAUAAUCAAAAAGGACGGGACAGUCACCAUUACAUACUCUGAAAAAAAACCUCAAGCUUUUUCAGAUUUGUAAAAAAAAUCUAAAUUUUUUUCAAAUUUGUAAAAAUUUGAAGAAUGUGUUGCUAUGCUGGAACACCUCCUGUGCAGCAGGAUGCAGAUAGAGGGUGCCACCUGUAUCCAGACAGGUUUUCUUAUGCACUCUUCAUGAUCACUUUAUGCCUUCACAGAGAACAGUGUAAUUAUUUUAUGUGAUUCUCCCCUCAGUGAGGAUCAAAGCUAUCUGUCCAGAAGCCCUCCUGGGAAGAAGACCAUUUUUGACAGUGUUCAACUUCAUUCAUGGUGUCCCCAGAAGCUUUGUGAAAUAAAUCCUUUACCAGUAAUAGGACAACAAAGACAUAUAACCAUUCCAGUAGCUGAGAAGCUGAAUUUCCUGCCCUGGGCAGUUGAGCAGAACCGUUCAUGGCCAUGAUGGUGCAGGGAUGAGACAGUGCUUGGGAUUAAAAUUUAACCUUGCAGGGAAAAAUAAGAAAUCUCUUCCUUGAGUGCAGUGGGACUCUGCUCUUCAGAUCACCCAUGUCAUCAUACAGUCUGUUUCUAUUUAGACCAUACAGCAAGUCUGUUCUACUGUUCUUAGUAAUAGUUUUUUAUUUAUCUAUUACUUAUAGGAGGUCUUCAUCAACACAAUAGUACAAUUAGUUUGGCAUUAUUCCACUCGCUGUACCCUGGUGUUUGCACAUCUUCUGAUCUGCAGACCAUAAUGAUAACUAAAUCAUCAAAUAACAAUAAUCUUGCUCCUAAAGUUGCAAUAUCACAGCCCUUGGGAGAAAUACAGCCAUAUGCCAUAGGAAAAACAGUGCCCAUUUUUAGCACAAGCAACACCAAGAUACAAAUCACAUCACACAGAGUCAGAGUUAAUUAAGUCAGGCACCUACUGUUUGCCUAUAGUUUGCAAUAGCUAUUAAUUUGAAGCUCUGCUGCAGUGCUAAGAAGAGAAAAUUAACUAAUGUCGCACUUUGUGACAUGAUGAACACACUGCUGAAGGGGCUUGUUAUGAUGACUUCUUCUGGAUAACACUGCUCUCAGUAAAAUUUUAGACAAUACACCAUAGUAAUUUAUGGGGGGAAAAUGUUAACAGGUCUUAUAUCUGUCUCUGGGUAAAGUGAAAGAGGUCAAGAGCUCUUACCAUUGAUUAUACAGUAUGCAAAACCACACGACAACUGGUAAAACUAUCAAAGAAGUGCCAACAUUUUGGCAUCUGUUUUCACUAUUUUGAACCAGUAAUUUUACCAAUUUUUAUGAUUUUUUAAAUAUAUUCAUCUUUAAACAUGAUAGAAACUCUGUAUUUUGUUUAAAAUCAUAAUUAAUUACAUCCAUGCUGUCACUGUCACUCCAAAGUAAUUGCUUUUAUCUAUUUAGUACUUGUCUAUUAUUGACUGCAAUACUUUCUUUUCCAGAUUGAAGGGCUAACUUCCUCCAUUACACACCACAAAGAUUCUUCAUUCUAGGAAAAAAAAAAGAUAGAGUCUUCUGGGUAGAGCUAACAACUUCUAUUAUAUGAAAUAGGAUUAAAAAUAUUAAAAUGAGAGACAGAAGAGAGCAUCCAGGUUCUGUGAGGAUUUAGACCAGCUACAUUCACAAGUCAGGUAGGAUCCUUGGAUCAUUUUCACCCUGAAGACAAAUGUUGAUCUCACAUAGUGAAACAGAACAUAGUUAACAGAACUAAAAUGUGUCACUUCCAAGAGAAGAAUAUUGGCAUCACAUUUUGUACAAAAUCUAAUAGUUACAGUAACACUAGUUGGAUGUUAUAGAGGGAUUAUAUAUUUUAAUACAAAUAUGCCCAAGUUUAGAACUGAGUUGUUACUUUUAUUGUUACAAUAUUCUUCUGCCUUUAUUGUUACAAGUAUGUUACUGCUUUAUAUAAUAAAGCUCUUAGUGAAAUACUUCA